ACAAACCUGCACAUGUACCCACUGAAUCUAAAACAAAAGUUCAAAUUAUUUUUUUUUUAGAGGAGUACAAAGGGAACAAUGUCUUUAGGCUAUCUCCUUUCAAGGGUUGACUCUCUAAUGUCCAGAUAGGAUUUGAACUCCAAGAAAUUGAAAUGUCCAGUACAGACAGGAGCUGCCCCUGUAUUUGUAUGACUCAUCUUACCCAUCAUACCCAAAUCCUAGUCCAUUUGAUAUUUUGUCCAUUUGAACAUUUUGCAUUCUUAUUUUUUCCAAAUACUGCACUAAAAUAUUAUUUAUUUUGAUUAAUUUUUAUUUUUUCGAAUGUUGCAUUAACAUAUUUUUUAUUUCGAUUACUGAAUUUUUUGACACCCCUCAUAGAUUUUGCACCUGAGGUGACUGUCACUCACCCCAUCCUAGUCUAAUACAAUUAACAUUGCAUUUGGUUGUUAGGCCAUCUUAAAAGACCUUAAUGACAAUGUAGAUUUUGUCAAGAUCAUGGCAACCACGUUAAGUGAACAGAAUUUUAAGGACAAGGAAUAUUUAGCCAGAAAAAAAUAUAUGUAUUUAGUAUGGAAGGGAGAGAUGUGUGUGGGAGAGAUACAGAUUUUUCUGGUGUGUAUGGCAAAACCAACAUAGGACAGUUGCAAAAAGAAAAAUUAGUUCCCAACAUGAGAACCUUCAAAUUGAAACAAUGAAUAUUGUUCAAAACAUCACAUUAUCUUGUAGGGCGAUGAUUUAUGCCUCAGUAAAUAUUCAGCCGAGCGCCUGUCUUUUCUCUAGUAUGUUGUGAAGGUUUUCAGACCUGGGGAGAGAGACAGUGUGUAGUGCCCCUAAACAACUAUACAAGAUGAAGUUCCACUUGCCAAAACCACACUAAAGGAAUAACAAAAGGAUAUUGAGAAUCAAUAAAUCCUUCAUAUAUGGUAGUAAGAGGCCAGCACUAGUUGUCCAGCCACAGCAAUUGUAGGCUGACAUAAAAUAAUUUCAGCAGCUUUGGGAUAAACAGUAAUUUUUCCUUCGGGGACAGAUUUUAAGUUAUCAGUUACCAUUGGUAGAAAGCUUGCCAUAUCCAAAGCUUUGUUUUGGGUUAGAGAUGACAAGGAAUUUAUAAUCAGCCAAAGAGAUCAAAUACACAGUGAGCUAAUUUAAAGGAAUUUUGAAAUAAACACAUAAAACAAAACCAAAUUAAUAGCCUCUAUGACUUUAGAACUGUGCCGUGAACCUUGAAUAGCUGAUAAAAUAACAGUGCCUUAAAUAUCUGCAUACUGCAAUCAUAAUUCUGUUACGUAUAAUAUUAGAAAACUGAGAACUUGAGAUUUUGGGGAAAACAAAAGAACUUCAUUUUUCCAAAAGUAGACAUUAUUUAUUAGUUUAUCUAAAACAUUGCAGUGUUUUCAAAUAUAUCCAUUCCAUUAACACAAAUCGUGUGGCUUUAUUUUUCAUCUGGAUUCUCUUUGGCAUUUAAUUUACACAGUCGCUUGUUUUAUACGAGGGCCUCUACAGUUCUGUUUUUUUGUCCUCUGAAGAACUUUCCAAGCCUUUGUCAUUCGCUUUUAAUGAAUCCAACCCUGCUAUGUCUGUUUUUGAAGCCAGGUGUUAGUGGCUCCUAAGAUCGUGUUCUAGGGAGCAGAGUUUUAAAAAUUAAUAGACUUCAUCUUUUUAGAGAAGCUCAAGUUUUACAGAAAAUUAAACAAAAUGUGAAGAGAGUUCCAAUAAAAUGCCUCAGUGCCACCUAUACUUUCCCCUCUAAUUAAAAACUUACCAUAAUAUGGUACAUUAGUUACAAUUAAUGAGCCAAUAUUAAUACAUAAUUGUUAACAAAAAUCCAUAGUUUUUAUUAGGGUCAAUUCUUUGUGUUAUACAUUCUGUGGGUUUUCAGAAAUGUAUAAUAUCAUUUAUCCGACAUUGAGUUUCACUGCCCUGAAAAUUCUCUGUGUUCUGCCUAGUUCUCCAUCCCCUUACGCUAACCCCUGGCAACCACUUAUCUUUUUACUGUCUCCAUAGUUUUACCUUUUACAGAACCUCAUACAGUUGGAAUUAUACAGUAUGCCACCUUUCCAGAUUGGUU